AGAGUUUGAUCAUGGCUCAGAACGAACGCUGGCGGCAGGCCUCAAACAUGCAAGUCUAGGGGGCGUAGCAAUACGUCACCGGCGGACGGGUGCGUAACACGUGGGAAUGUACCUAUUGGUUCGGAACAACUCAGGGAAACUUGAGCUAAUACCGAAUGUGCCCGAAAGGGGAAAGAUUUAUCGCCAAUAGAUCAGCCCGCGUCCGAUUAGCUAGUUGGUGGGGUAAAGGCCCACCAAGGCGACGAUCGGUAGCUGUUCUGAGAGGAAGAUCAGCCACACUGGGACUGAGACACGGCCCAGACUCCUACGGGAGGCAGCAGUUGGGAAUCUUGGACAAUGGGGGAAACCCUGAUCCAGCCAUGCCGCGUGAGUGAUGAAGGCCUUAGGGUUGUAAAACUCUUUCGGCGGGGACGAUAAUGACGGUACCCGCAGAAGAAGCUCCGGCUAACUUCGUGCCAGCAGCCGCGGUAAUACGAAGGGGGCUAGCGUUGUUCGGAAUUACUGGGCGUAAAGCGUGCGCAGGCGGCUUUUCAAGUCAGUGGUGAAAGCCCGGAGCUCAACUCCGGAACUGCCAUUGAAACUGUUUAGCUCGAGUACGAGAGAGGUGAGUGGAAUUCCCAGUGUAGAGGUGAAAUUCGUAGAUAUUGGGAAGAACACCGGUGGCGAAGGCGGCUCACUGGCUCGUAACUGACGCUCAUGCACGACAGCGUGGGGAUCAAACAGGAUUAGAUACCCUAGUAGUCC
rnacentral:rRNA from 1 species